AUUAGACAACAGCUUUGAUUUCAGGAAGAUGAUAAUCUCUAGGAGGAGCUAAGAAUGUUUGAAUAUCAAAGUGUCACAUGUCAUAUACAGUAAGCAAAGCAUUCUGAAGGAAAAAUAGGAAUUCCGCAACAUGAAGGGCUGGACAGUUGGCCAUCACCCGGAAGCAUGGUUCAAAGCAUUCUGAAGGCCUUCUGAUGACCUUGGCAGAUGAUGCAGUGACCCUGCUCACAUACCUUCUGCAUACCUCAUCCCUGAUCCUUGGAGACCACAUCUUAUUACACUGUAGCCCUCCAUCUGAGAGCUCUCUAGAUCUGCAAAUAGGUAGGCCAGAAGUGCUCAGGGACUCUUGUCUAGUGGAUGACACACAAGAGUUGGAGAAUAUUUACUGUGCCUCAAGUGGAACAACUCGGAAAAGUUCUGCACUAGCUCCUGAGCUCUCCAGCAAGUGAGCGCCAGCUGCCCAUAGCAGGUAGCUCCUUGAUGACAUCUCCUUUACUGGAUCAUUCUCUUCCUUUUCUCACUUCUGCCAUCCCUUAUCCAUGCUUCCUGGGAUCUCCUUCUCCCAAAGAAAUGACUCAUACUCAAAUCCUUGCUUCCAGACCUGCUUCUUUGGGAACCUAACCUAAGACAGUGACUUAUGAAAAUGCACCCAAUAAAUAAAUGGAAAAGAAAGCUAAA